GAUGAACGCUGGCGGCGUGCCUAAUACAUGCAAGUCGAGCGAACAGACGAGGAGCUUGCUCCUCUGACGUUAGCGGCGGACGGGUGAGUAACACGUGGAUAACCUACCUAUAAGACUGGGAUAACUUCGGGAAACCGGAGCUAAUACCGGAUAAUAUAUUGAACCGCAUGGUUCAAUAGUGAAAGACGGUUUUGCUGUCACUUAUAGAUGGAUCCGCGCCGCAUUAGCUAGUUGGUAAGGUAACGGCUUACCAAGGCGACGAUGCGUAGCCGACCUGAGAGGGUGAUCGGCCACACUGGAACUGAGACACGCUCCAGACUCCUACGGGAGGCAGCAGUAGGGAAUCUUCCGCAAUGGGCGAAAGCCUGACGGAGCAACGCCGCGUGAGUGAUGAAGGUCUUCGGAUCGUAAAACUCUGUUAUUAGUGAAGAACAAAUGUGUAAGUAACUAUGCACGUCUUGACGGUACCUAAUCAGAAAGCCACGGCUAACUACGUG
rnacentral:rRNA from 1 species